rnacentral:rRNA from 1 species
UACGGAGGGUGCAAGCAUUAAUCGGAAUUACUGGGCGUAAAGGGCGCGUAGGCGGUUUAAUAAGUCAUAAGUGAAAUUCCAGAGCUUAACUCUGGAGCAGCAGAUGAAACUAUUAGACUAGAGUAGGAGCGGAGAAAACGGAAUUUCCCAUGUAGCGGUGAAAUGCGUGGAUAUGGGAAGGAACACCGGUGGCGAAAGCGGUUUUCUAGCUUUUAACUGACGCUGAGGCGCGAGAGCAAGGGGAGCAAAC